CUGGGUCAGCCAUUGGGCUGGGGUCACGCCAAUCAAGGUUGCCUGGCGAAUGAGCGGGGGGCUUCGGACCGGAAACCGGAUAUGAAUGGGAGGUCCAACAGGGGGCGCCGCGUUGGAACGCCCUAAGAGGUUGUGCUCCUGGGGUGGUUGGAAGCGGCCGGUGGGCCGGCGUAUGGCGGCCAGGCCUGGGAAGCCACGAGGCUGCCUGGCGCCGUGGGGUCACUCUUCCUGAAGCCACAAGUCACCAAGGCUGGAAGGGAAGGUCGGGGGCUGCCAGGGGCCAACCUUAGGUAUCGCUGGGGGCGGUGGGCAAACCCACCCGACCGAGGGGACCGCCGCUGAGGACAGGCGAGGAGGAAGAAAAUGUCUGGGGCCUGGCGGUAGAGAGCCAGGCCCCGAGGAGAGACAGGGCUCGCUGCCCCGAUGCAGAGGAGCAGUCCCAGACGGCUGAGGAGUUGAGGCCCCAGGGAUGCUGCGCCCUGCCGAGCUAGAAGGGAUUGGCCACCAGAGUCUGAAAACCCCAGAUCACUUAUGUGAAGGGGUUCAAAGCUGAAACCGUCAUGGAACAGAGUGGGAUGAGACACCUCAGAAGUGAGGCCAGAUGUUUGAGGAACUGGCUGACACGGGAGGCAGCUGAUGUGCCCAGCCCCAGGGACCCGAGGAGCCUGGUGCGGGUCUUGCGCAGACAGCCCCAGACCUCUCCGGCCAAGCUGCACCCAGCCCCGUCGCCAGAUCAACUGCGCCAAAACCUUAGCGAUGCCCCGACGUGACCAAGCUCGUGCCACCAACUCUGGGAGCCGGUAGGGGUACCCCCUAAGACCCCGUACCUUCUCUGCCAGCCCUCCAAGUACGCGUAACUCGUGGGGAACCGCCGGCCAGCCUGGAGAGGUCGGCUCUGGAGCGCGCGGGCAGGUGCGCACGCUCUUUGCGGCGCGCUUGGCCCCGUGCGCGCCCGGAGGCGAGUGGCGGCGGCCAGGACUGGCGCACAGGGGCGGGGAGCCCUGGCGCCGAGGUCCCACGGCUCCAAAUUGGCAGCGUUAGGACCUGGGCUCCGGGCUCCCAGCGCCUUAAAGCGCCGCGCGCGACUUUUCCCGGAGCCGGCAGUCUCCGGACUUCUCGCCCAAUCCCAGUGUGAUUACUUUUCGCACAUUGCAACAGUGUCGCUACAGCGCGGCCGCUCUCGCACGGUGAAAGUUGGCGCGUGCACUUAAGAACUACGUUUCGGGCGCCCGCCAAGGCCAGCUGGUUUGAGACUAGUGUUUAAGAGGAAAAAAAGCAUGUAAAACAAGUGACUUACCCGUGCCUUUGGGUGUGCAGCUCGAAACCUGGGGCGCGCCGGGGGUUCAGUCGCGCGUCCUGGACACCAGCGCGGAGACCUCAGGCUGUCUCCAGCGGGGCGCGCGGAGCGCCCCGCCGUCCAACAAGCCUUUGGCCACCUGGGCGCUGCCGGCGUCCUCCCAGCGUCCUGGGGAGCCUCCCCCGGCUCGCCCUGGCCCCCAGCCUCCCCGCUCAGGCUAGCUGAGCCCACUGGCCUCCCGCAUUCCUCCUAACCUGCCUUUCCUUCUCCCUCCCUCCCUCCCGCGGCUCCCACACCGACCCCGGUUUGGCGGCGGGCAACUAACCUGAA